GAUUUUAGAGGUGACUUCUAUUUCUUAAUUGUUAUGCACACACCAAAUUACCCUAUAGUCAGUAUGUACCCUAGAGUUUAAUUUUAUUAAAUGGAAUAACACAUAAGUUAGUAGACCUAUGUCACAAAAGUUAUGUUAUUCACAGAUGGAUCACAAAUGGAUAUAUUUUGAAACUGUAUCUGCCACGUUAGCGAGAGGCCGACCAGCUUGCCCAACAACAACAGAUGGCAGAAAUGAUAGCCUUCCUGCAGUCGGUUGGGGCUCAAACGGGUGUAGCCCUACCACCUACGCUACUGGCUCCACGACAACCCUCUCAUGUAUUUACUACUCCUAUUAAUACUCAUGUGAGGAAACUCAAUGACACAAGUAAGUCCUAAACUAGUUAUUGCCGUCAUCUUGUCUAAUAAACUAUGUUCUCCUUUGUGCAGCCUCCGUCAGCAUGUUCGAACGCGGCACCUGGCAUUUCUCCAACACCUGGCAUCUCGCCGACACCUCCAGAUGGUGGCUUUCCUGCGGUACAUGGCCUAGGUGUCCCUCAUAUCAAUUGGGGGCCUUCACAGUGAGUCAGGUCGACUUAGUUUGAGAUGCAGUUAGUUUGGAGUAUGUGGACUAUGUGGUGAU
rnacentral:lncRNA from 1 species